UUUUUAGUAUGCAUAUGUCCCAUGCAAUAUUUGGGACAUACUUACACUAAAA
rnacentral:pre_miRNA from 1 species